CCUCAGCUCGGCUAACACCAUUACAGCUUCGCUCCUCCACAGUGUCUGUUGCUAUCGGCCAAGCCUAGUUUCUCCCUUCGAUGGAACCUACCGCCUUCACCGCACACAACUUCCUCAUAGAAUGAUACAGUCUUGUGAUGGAGGAGUUUUUAAUGGCGGUAGGCGCUGGAUACGCAGUUUUCCGGGGAGGCGCCCUCGUGACACAUUUGGACGCGCAUACUGCCCGACAUUACGUCCAAUAACUCUGUUGAUAGUUUGCUGCUCAUACACAACCGCCGUUUUUUAGAGCUCGGACGGUUCUUGGAGCAUAGACGACACAUUUUUUAAAAGAGUUGCGAUUGAUACGUGUGAAACAAUACAAUGAGCGCAAAUCUUUGCGCAACCAUCCAACUUUGAGGACAAACCGACAGGACGGAAAAGGAACUAAGGAUUCAUCUUCAGAGACCGUACGGCUGUGAUAUUGUCCUGUCACAGCAGUACUUUAAUUUUACGUACUACUGUGUCGGGACGGUAACCAUAGACCUACAAAGUACUCAACAUCAAGUUUCAACGAUUCAAAGGGCGGACUCAUCUGGAUAGAAGAGUGAAAUUGAACUUGCAUUUGUUUCAAAAACUACAUUUGUAUCCGGGAAAAAACAUAUGUGACUUGUGAGAGUAGGAUAAUUAUUACUUCACUAAUUAAAUACUAUAAGUAAUUACAUAACUUUUUACUAAGUUUAAGUUUACAUUUAAGUUCAUUGGUGUAUUUGGAAUAGUAAACGUAGAAUAGUGAAUAAUGCAUGGAGAGAAUUAGCAGGUGUCUGAAGUUUGGUGAAUUUCGUGUCUAGGUGAAAACUGCUGAGUGAACUGAACACGAGGAUACCCUUGGUUCAUGAAUUGAACAAUUAUUGGAGAAGAUAUGACAAAAUGAUCUAGUCUGCUACA